rnacentral:misc_RNA from 1 species
UGCUCAUGCCGGAAUAGCUCUCACCACGACCGCGACCGCAACAGCCACGAAAGCCAUUGCCAUCACCACCACACAGAAAACUUUGAUCGCCAGCGUGGCGGCAAUCGCGCUUACAGCAGGCGUUGGUAUUUACGUGCUUCAACAGUUGACUGCCGCACCCCCCGCUGCCGCUGAAGGGAAGACGGCGGGCGAUGCGGGCGCUCCCAGCGAUCGUCUUCCCAUCAAAUUGGCCAAUGACUCUUUUCAGGUCAGGGCAGGCGCCUUCAACGACAAGUUCAUCAACGGGAUUGACGCCGAUACGCGGCGUACCACCAACUCAGUCCCUGCCGG